rnacentral:rRNA from 1 species
CUCCUACGGGAGGCAGCAGUGGGGAAUAUUGCACAAUGGGCGCAAGCCUGAUGCAGCAACGCCGCGUGAAUGAUGAAGGCCUUCGGGUCGUAAAGUUCUGUCCAAAGGGAAGAAUACAGUGACGGUACCUUUGGAGGAAGCCCCGGCUAACUACGUGCCAACAGCCGCGGUAAUACGUAGGGGGCAAGCGUUAUCCGGAAUCACUGGGCGUAAAGGGAACGUAAGCGGAUUGACAAGCCAGAGGUGAAAGGCAUAGCUUAACUAUUGUAAGCCUUUGGAAUUGUCGAACUUGAGUGCACGAGACCAC